GAUGAAGAACGUAGCGAAAUGCGAUACGUAGUGUGAAUUGCAGAAUUCAGUGAAUCAUCGAAUCUUUGAACGCACCUUGCACCCUUUGGCAUUCCGAAGGGUAUGCUCGUUUGAGUGUCAUUGUACUCUCACACUUCCAAUCUUUGGAUUGGGAGCAGUGGACUUGGGUGUUGCUGCUUACUGUGGCUCACCUCAAAUCGAUUCGUGCACCUCUUGGUUGGACAUAGUACGGCGUGAUAAGUGUCUUCGCCGGCACCUCAGUAGAGGGUGGCUGAUCAGGAGCUCUGUGCUUCAAACCGUCCUCGGACAACAACUGACAACUUGACCUCAAAUCGAGUAGGACUACCCGCUGAACUUAAGCAUAUCAAUAAGCGGAGGA
rnacentral:misc_RNA from 1 species